rnacentral:rRNA from 1 species
GCCUGUAGCUAUACCACCUCAGGCUGUGAGCUUGCCUGGUCUCACAAGCUAAACAAGACUGGGCCUGCUUGGUAUUUGGAUAGGAGACCUCCCAGGAAAACUCAAGAUGCUGCAGAAA